AGUUGCAUUCUUCUCUUUCUUCUGUUUCGUUAUGGCCUUAUGGGACAGGAGGCCUCACCGGAGAACUCGCCGGAGUUAGCUUUAGGGUUGGGAGUUGGGAGAUCUCUGAAGGGAGGGUCGUCACCGGAGGAUGAGCUGCGGCGGAGAUUACAGCGGCCAUCUUCGACCCGCUGCGGCCAUCGUGGUCGGGGCAACAGGCUACAUCGCGAAUCCGAGCACAUUUCCGAACGAUUUCUAAUGAGAAGAUCCAAAAACCAAGUGAGCUGUGAGAUUGCAACAUACCGAGUUGUCCAAUUUUCUGUCCACAAUGCAGGCUUGCUAGGUGAAACAAUGUAAUAAUGAACACUAACAAUUGGGUCUGGGGCAUCAUUUUGCUUGCACAUCAUCCAUGGAACACCUGUCUGGAGACCUACAGCCAUUUCAGCUGCCCAACGGACAUAACGUGGGCCACCUGAGCCAAAUGCAGGCUCAACCAUCUGGAUUCUGCAAAACGAAAACUCUGAAAUCACCAGUCACAGUUCCAGAGUUUUUCAUGUUACAGACUCUUAGAAUGCCAUCUCAAAGGUUAUUUACCUUGAAGGGUUCAUUGUCUGUUCGGAAGGUGAUGUUUGGAACAUCAUGUAGCCAAAAUGGAAACCCUCUGCACAAGAUACCCAGCAUUUGUUCAGAAUUGAAAAGACACCUACCUGGCCCUGGACAGGCUCGUGAACAUUCCAAAAGACGUAAGUUUGUAUGACAUCGAGGCCACCCUUCCUGGCGUUCGCUAUGAGUUUUGGCCACAUCUGUCAAUUCAAAUACGCACAAACUGAUUUGGUGAUGAAUCAGAAGAAGUAGCUCAUUAGAGAAUGGCAACAAGCUAGGAAGCAGGAUGGAAUUUCAGUUCAAACGUUGCCUAAGAUUUGACCUUUGUCUCAUGCCCGGAAGAGGAUCGACAUUUUUCCUACUCGACGGAUACUUUGAAGAGUUGCCUCCCUCCCCUCUAGCGCAAUUCUGCGGUCCAUUUAUUGCCUAGCACCCCUGAACUAUGAGGUAUGCCUCAAAAUUUUACCAGUGGCUUUUUAGCUGUGCGAGUUUGAUAUUGGG